GGCGCAUCCCUUGUUCGACUGUGAUGUGUUCGAAGUAAACUCAUAUCACAGCCGUGCUUAAGGGCUUCGUCAAAA
rnacentral:pre_miRNA from 1 species